CUUGUGUUUAUGGACUCUUAUCACUUUUACAAAUACUUCCGCCUUGCCUCCGAUCCAACUUCCUAUCGCUCAGCGCCCAUUCUUCAUCGCACAACGAACGAACCUCCUAACUACUUCUUCUUUCGUUCCUCUAAUUCAUCAACUUGCGUCCUUGCUUUCACCAGCUCAAUGCUGACGGUCUUGUACAUACCUAAAGAUCCCCCCUCUGGCAUAUCCGGCCGCACUCCGACCCAUUAGCCUACCUGUCGACAGGAUUCGUACUAACGGUUGGAAUACCCCUCCAACAAUCCUCGGAACAUGGUGUUGAUGGUGUUUGAGAAGAUGCUCUGACGACCCGAUUGUCUGUACGCAAAGUCGUAGGAUUUCUUGUGGGGUCUGUAGACCCCAAAGGCUCAGAUCCUAAACUGGGUGUUAUAGAGGUCUGGGAACGCUGCGACUCCCUGACUCGUAAGGAGACGUUAUUCUUCAUGUUCUUCACCAUUUUCAUGAGGCAACCAGCGCCCUUACUCGAGACAAAAAUCUGCCAGCCUCAUCUUGGGCGGGUGUCGUCGCCGUGUUCACGGACACCACGGUCGCCAGGGGAGUAGACCUUGAGGUCGUAGUCGACAUAACGUAGGAUACACGAGUCUCGCACCCCCAGGCAAACUUUUGACGUUCACAAACAUCUUAACGCUGAUACUCCCAAAAGUCUUUGGAUAGAGGACUAACCAAUUCAUGGAAGGUGAAUGUUCUGUUUUACAAGGAGAAGCGGGUCGUGCCGGCGUCCAUUUGUGAGACUUGGAUAGAUGUGUAUGCCCGAAGGGCCUGUAUCCACAGGAGGGAACAGGAACAGAAAUAUUUUUGUCUGAUCUGUAUGUUACACCAAUAUCCCACUGAUUUGUUUUCGCCAGAGGGUGAUCGGGGGGAAUAGCAAGACUCCAAAUUCUGUCGAACAAAGGGCAUCUACGACAGCGUCAGGCAUCCCCCUGAAUCUACGUCUCGUCCUCUAACAGAAUGACAUAACCUCUCACUUCCUCUACAAAUGCAGGGAUCGUGUCAAGGUUGAGAGCCACGGUGCUAGGGCAAGCCAUUUGUCAUUCAGCUGUAGUGAUCCAAAUGAUCGGGGUGUUCGGGAGAUUAAGGAAAGUCAGGGGGGUUAUAGGUGGGUGCAUCUGGCCAUACAGCUGGGUGCGUACAGUCCGAUAGCCAGACCCACCCCCCCUUCAAUCAUCCCCAACCUCUCGAAACCCCGAGGCGCUUAAUCAUCUGGAAGCUAAGUGCCCAGCUUGAGGACCUAAUGUUCAUGCGAGAAGAUAUUAUCAUCAACAUAUACGAGGGCUUGCGUUGAAAGGGCUAAGGGGAUUGACGGAGAAAGUCGGAAGAGUGGAGGCGGAGCGUAGAGAGGGGAGGGCCAAAAGCGGUCAAUCCUAACGAACACUGCGAAAUGGGCCCAAGGAUGUGCUUAUCCCCAAACGAGGUCUGAAACGUUCCCCAUAUGCCUAGAAAUGGUUGUUGUUGCUGGAAAGUCGAAAAGGUUCAAUGAGAAGACGUUUGAUACCGCUUUCCAAAACCUCCCUAUAUGUUGCUGGGUCCAUCCAUGAAUUAUGGGGGACGGCGAUGUUGCCAAGUGUCGUGCGGGAGGGCACUGUCGGACGGAAUAUCGAUACGUUUGGAGGGAUGGACCUGAGAUCGGCUCAUAGACUUGGACGAGAUGUAUGAAGAUGAGUAGAAUAGCUAUACAAGAUCAUCAUCCAUCUCGCUCUUGGUUGGGGAUCUCCCAACUCUCAAACAUCUCCGUGCUUUUGU
rnacentral:sRNA from 1 species